rnacentral:rRNA from 1 species
UACGUAGGUGGCAAGCGUUGUCCGGAUUUAUUGGGUUUAAAGGGUGCGUAGGCGGCUUUUUAAGUCAGUGGUGAAAGCCGUUCGCUUAACGAUCGAACUGCCAUUGAUACUGAGAGGCUUGAGUAUAGUUGAGGUAGGCGGAAUGUGACAAGUAGCGGUGAAAUGCAUAGAUAUGUCACAGAACACCGAUUGCGAAGGCAGCUCACUAAGCUAUGAUUGACGCUGAGGCUCGAAAGCGUGGGGAUCAAACAGG